rnacentral:rRNA from 1 species
CCUACGGGUGGCAGCAGUGGGGAAUAUUGGACAAUGGGCGAAAGCCUGAUCCAGCCAUGCCGCGUGUGUGAAGAAGGCCUUCGGGUUGUAAAGCACUUUCAGUGGGGAAGAAAGCCUUGGGGCUAAUACCCUCGAGGAAGGACAUCACCCACAGAAGAAGCACCGGCUAACUCCGCGCCAGCAGCCGCGGUAAUACGGAGGGUGCGAGCGUUAAUCGGAAUUACUGGGCGUAAAGCGCGCGUAGGCGGUCUGAUAAGCCGGUUGUGAAAGCCCCGGGCUCAACCUGGGAACGGCAUCCGGAACUGUCAGGCUAGAGUGCAGGAGAGGAAGGUAGAAUUCCCGGUGUAGCGGUGAAAUGCGUAGAGAUCGGGAGGAAUACCAGUGGCGAAGGCGGCCUUCUGGACUGACACUGACGCUGAGGUGCGAAAGCGUGGGUAGCAAACAGGAUUAGAUACCCGGGUAGUC